rnacentral:lncRNA from 1 species
UUGAACUUCGUUGGAACAAUCGUUCCAUACUCUCUUUAUGGUUCUAAUAUUCCAAACCAAACCAGCUCCACAUGGAUAAGUUCCAAAUACCUCCAAGUUCUAGAACAUUCAUUUGCCUCCAAUAAAUUUUGCCUGCUGUUACUGUUGUAAAACAGGUAAUUGUUCCAACACUCCUGAGUUGAACUUCGUGGAAUUGUUCCAAACUCUCUUUAUGGUUCUAAUAUUCCAAACCGAACCAGCUCCACAUGGAUAAGUUCCAAAUACCUCCAAGUUCUAGAACAUUCAUUUGCCUCCAAUCAAUUUUGCCUGCUGUCUUAGUUUAUCUACAAUUCUGCAGGGGCGGGAUCUUGUAAUAGGGAACCUUGGGGACUCAAGAGCAGUAAUGGGCACACGGGACAAGCACAAUAAU